GAGUUUGAUCAUGGUUCAGGACGAACGCUGGCGGCGUGCUUAAUACAUGCAAGUCGAGCGAGGUUACUGUUUUGGAUCCCUUCGGGGUGAAGAAGCUUUAACCUAGCGGCGGACGGGUGAGUAACGCGUGGGUAACCUACCCCAAAGUCCGGGAUAACAGCGGGAAACCGCUGCUAAUACCGGAUGCCUUUACCUUGGGGCAUCUUGAGGUAAAGAAAGGUAACGCUUUGGGAUGGGCCCGCGUCCCAUUAGCUAGUUGGUGAGGUAACGGCUCACCAAGGCGACGAUGGGUAGCCGGCCUGAGAGGGUGGACGGCCACACUGGGACUGAGACACGGCCCAGACUCCUACGGGAGGCAGCAGUAGGGAAUAUUGCGCAAUGGACGGAAGUCUGACGCAGCGACGCCGCGUGAGCGAUGAAGGUCUUCGGAUCGUAAAGCUCUGUCCUUGGGGAAGAAGGCGAAAGCUUGACGGUACCCAAGAAGAAAGCCCCGGCUAACUACGUGCCAGCAGCCGCGGUAAUACGUAGGGGGCGAGCGUUGUCCGGAAUUACUGGGCGUAAAGGGUGCGUAGGCGGCCCUUUAAGUCGGAUGUGAAAGCCCGCGGCUUAACCGCGGAAUGGCAUUCGAAACUGGAGGGCUUGAGUGUCGGAGAGGGUAGU
rnacentral:rRNA from 1 species